UAAAUGUUUUGACUAAAGUCUAUCGCUACAGUUUUUUUGAUACAAACCAAGUAUAUAUAUCUAGUAGUAGCUCGACGCUAGCUAGUUGUGGUGAUGUGUGUUUUGUCCUACAUUUGUAUUUAAUUUAUUUUAAUUUUUAAUCCCAGCCCUCGGCCCCGCAGGAUACCUUUUUUAUUUUGGUAGGCAUCAUUGUAAAUAAGAAUUUGUUCUUAACUAACUUGCCCAGUUAAAUAAAAUAAAUAUAAAGUUUCAGAGCCUACACCGGAAGUAGGCAGUUAGUAUUUGUUCAAUUGAAUGACAAGACAGCAGCCAUGAGCACUCUCGUCUGAGUGUGCCAGAUUGUAGGAAUUCCUAAAUUAUUCUGAAAAGUUCCAACCUUGCCCUAGAAACACUCAGUGGAGUGAUGAGAGCAUCUGGUUUGAGGACGUUCCUAAUGAUCCAGCUCAAUGUGAAUUGAUGGGAGAGCCACAUCUCAGGAUGGAGUACAAGUUGGGACUGAUGUAAGAGUCUCCUGACUAGUGUUACAUUUGUCUGUGGGUUUAUUUCUAUGUGGUACCUGUGCGUCACUGGGCAUGAAUUGGUCCUCUUGGAGGCUGUUGAGGUCAUACAGUUGCCCCGAGAGACUCACACUGAAACUGCACUGUCGCUGGAGCUUGCAUGCCUCACAAACACUCCCAUGCAAUCCUAACUUCAUCAGCUGGACCUUGGGGUAACACUCCACCCGCUCCUGUACAUGGACACCAAAACACAUACCUCAGUUCUCCAGGCGAGGGAGGAUCGUCCGCUCAUCAAAGUGGAACAGCGACGCCAUCAUCUCCUGAGCAUAUCGCUUUGUCCGAUCACCGCCUGCUCACAGUGAUCAACCAAUUAUAUUCCCUACACUUGGAUGAUACAGUCAAUUGGGGAUGGUGUUAAAGACCCAUUAUUGUAAAAAAAACAACCACUUACCAUAAAGAGACUUGAGAAAGGUUUCAUCCAGGACGUUGAUCAUAAGGGCUUUGACGACCACUUGAAAGUGAUUGAGCUGAGACCCAGUGAUGACUAGCAAAAAGAGGAAAAUGAAUCAUAACACAUAGUAAUGGUGAUUUCAGGUGUAAACAUUGACCCAUGAUAUAGUGUCAGCUAAGACUCACAUUGGCGUGGAAGAGAAACAGCCUUUUCAUCUGACGACGACUCCUUAUCCCCCGUCUUUUUCUUAUCCUCAACUAUGAAGUCCUUCAGACUGUCGCUGUCAUCUGCCGCCUCUUCUUCACUACUGCCCACCAAUAGUUCAGGGGCAUCAUCGUUGUGGUCAUCAUCCUCGUCACCACUAGCAUCUUUCGCUUCUUUACCUUUCUCUUCUUCACCCGAAUCCUGAAUCUUUACAAGCGAACAAAACAUUGUUUUACAACCAAUGUUAAACAUUUCCUCGGUACCUUAUGGACAUUUUAUGGGUGUAUGUGACAUGAUUUUGCACAAUGGCUCAACACUUAAAGAUACUGCUGUUAUGUUCGUUUACAUUAUAUAUGGUGAUAAGCUACCUCCAACGUGCCCCUGCGUUUCGGGACGCGGGACUUCAUCUUCUUGGAUAAUGCCAGGAGUUGAGACUGGCGUUGCUUUCGUUUAGCUGCGGUCUCUUUGGCUUCAGCAAAUUGUUUGGCAUUUUGUGCAACACUCUGGUCCUCCGAAUCAGAAUCUUGACUUUGCUGUUUAAUGCGUUUUUUGGGAACGACUUUCCGUUUGGGUUUGGUUCCUACGUCGCUGUCAGAGUCGCUGGAGCUGUCAGCGAGGACGCGCUUCCGACGAGGACGGGAUCUACCUUCGCUGGAGCUACUACCUUCACUCUGUUCUCCACUGGCAGGUGUACUUUCGCUCCCGCUGUCCGAAUUCUGAUCCUCACUCUCUGAGUCUGAGGCGCUGAUGCUGGUCGUGCUCGCGCAUGACUCCUCGUCACUGUCAUCAAGGAUAGACGACGGCAGACCGAUUUGAGCCCUUUUCUUCUUUGCUUCAGCUUUAUUUUUUCGCAUCGUCGCGAACACUUGACGCUUGUACAGGCUUUCCAUGGUUGCUUACACAGUGCUGCUAAGUUAACUGACCAAAUAAAAGUUAAAUAACGUUACCAACCCUGGCUCCCUGGCUGGCUGGCUGGCUAACGUUAGCAAUUAGCUAGCUAAUGUGAGAUGCAGAACAUGCUCAUUUGUGUAAAAUGUCGCCUACAAAACAUUAACUAUGCGAGCAACCAUAUGUAAACAACGUUACUCUAAGUUGAUACCAAGCUUUAAUCUCGGUGAACCUUAAAAAAUUGAAACAUCCAAUUGUA